UACGUAGGUGACAAGCGUUGUCCGGAUUUACUGGGCGUAAAGAGCGCGCAGGCGGUCGUUCAAGUCGAGUGUGAAAGCCCCCGGCUCAACUGGGGAGGGUCACUCGAUACUGAUCGACUCGAAGGCAGGAGAGGGUAGUGGAAUUCCCGGUGUAGUGGUGAAAUGCGUAGAUAUCAGGAGGAACACCGGUGGCGAAGGCGGGUCUCUGGGCCGAUACUGACGCUGAGGAGCGAAAGCGUGGGGAGCGAACAGG
rnacentral:rRNA from 1 species